rnacentral:miRNA from 1 species
AUAAGAUGAUGAUGAUGAUACUGGUGAUGACAAUGGUGACAGUAGCUGCAUAUAUUACCUUUCUAUUUAUUUACCAUAAUCAUCGUCAUCAUCAACAUCAUCA